rnacentral:snRNA from 1 species
UCUCGCUUCGGCAGAACAUACUAAAAUUGGAACGAUACAGAGGAGAUUAGCAUGGCCCCUGCGCAAGGAUAUCACGCAAUAUCGUGAAGCGUUCCACAUUUUA